rnacentral:other from 2 species
UAAUUCCUGGGGUGUGCGUCAAACCGCUAUUUUGAACCUACAUUUACGUUUAUGGGAUUCCAAUAUCUCAGUCUGGAUGUCAGGCCUCCGAUUUUGCAGUGGAAGGCAGAAGGGCUGUUGAGGUCACCCACCUAGCUUUGGCUAGGCGUCAAAAUCGCGGAGACGGCAUUUUGGGUAUACU